rnacentral:misc_RNA from 1 species
GAUCUUGAGUGCGCCGGCGGUGUCCUCGACGGGCUCGCGACGGAGGCCGAGAUCGGAGAUGGCGCGGCCGCAGUGGGCGAGCGCCAUGGGGUGGGAGAUCACGCGGCGGAGCUCAGCUUUGCGGACGCCGGGCAUGGCGAGGAGGCAGUAGUUGACGAAGAGGCUUAUCUCUUGGACAAUGGAUAGGUCGUGCCGGAGCAGGAGGUCGUAGUUGCGGAGGGCGGUACCUUCCAUGGUGCUCUCGACGGGGAGGAUGACGCGGUCCGCGGCACCGCCAUGGACGGCGGCGAUCGCGUCGGAGAAGGAGCGGCAGGGGAGGGGGGAGGAGUUUGGGAGGGCGGUUUUGGCGGCGAACUCGCUGUAGGCGCCGGGGGCGCCCUGGUAGGCGAUGCGGAGGGGAGGGGAGUGGAGGCGAGAAGCGGCGCCGUUCUCCGAGGCGAGAGGCGGCGCCGCCGCGGGUGGGUUGAAGGUCCGGCGAGCCGACGGGGAGGCGAGAUCUGGGGCAGUUGGGGAUGAGGGGUAGUUUGGUAAUUUGAGGCUGGGGAGUGAAGCCAUU